AAGUUUAUUUAAUAUAGUACCUUUUACAGAACAGUCUCAAAGUGCUUCACACGAUAGACACUUGGUAAAAUACAGU